rnacentral:tRNA from 1 species
GGGCCGGUGGUCUAGUGGAAGCGCCUUUUUGCCGCGGCAAAAACCCGCGGGAAAUCCGCUGACGCCACAAUGACGUCUGCUUUGCAAGCAGAAGGCCGUGGGUUCAAAGGCAAACGCCUGCGUUUGCAUUCCGGGUUCGCCUCCCACCCGGUCCACCA